CCCAUCAUGGAAAACGGCAUUCCGUAGAAAUGGUCAAAUCCGUGGCUGAUGGGGUGGUGGCAGUGAUCAUUGGAAGAGUCACAGUUGAGGCCCAGAUGCCAUUUUCCUGAAAGGCAAAGAGGAUUCCCAUGUCACAACUGCCUCAUCAUGGAGCCAUGGUUAGAUGUGAGAGAGGACAAACCUGAUCGGAGAGGGUAUCUGCCCGUUAGGAAAGCAGCCCUGCUUGGGGUGCACACUGAUGCAGCUGCCACGUGCUGGCAGCCAAUGUCGCCAAUGCCAAAAUCAUCUGCCAUCAGAAGAAGGAUGUUUGGACGCCCACCAGAUAAAUCCCUGCAAGCUGAGGGCCUCACACCUAGAAUCAUGCCUACCGUCACAGCCAGCCAGCUCCUGAAAGACAAGGUGCCGAUGAACGCUUAACUCUGCUAUCCCAUGUCUUGUACGUGACUUCCAUAGGUAGGACUUUUUUAGGCAAGUCCACAUUUUAGGGGACUUUGAUAUUAGCAUCACAUUGUAGAAUAGUUAAGUACAUUCUUGGGCAUUUGACUUUUUCUUAGUUGAAGACAACUCACACUCUUGAUGGUUUUACUUCAACUGUCAACAUUUUUUGGCAUUUUAAGCCCUGGAGUUUGUUGUUAGGUCAUCACACCCAUGAUUAAGAAAAAAACUUAUUUGGUUUCUUAUUAGGCAUGGAUCAGGUCCCUAGAAUAGCUACAGCUCCUUCCCCUUUGCCUCUUCAUUUUUCCUUAAAUAGUCAACCGUGUUGAACUUGGGUAUCUGUGACGCUUAGUAGGCAGUUGGACCACUGACCAGAGCAAGACAGAGAAGAAAAGUCAGGGCAAGGGCUUACCAAUGCCAGCUGUUGAUUCUGAAUCUAUUAAAAGUCUCCAUAUAUUCUAGCAUGAAUUUGACUGACCUUUUUCAUGAUGGGAAGUGGGUCUUUUGAGGUUCCAGCCCAAAGCAGAGACACUUGGUGGUGGCACAUCAGGAGAAGGAAUUGCCAUGGAGCUUGGGGCUUUCCCACCACCAUCACUAUCAUAACCCCAUCACCAUGGCAUCUGUGGAGCCCCUCCUCUCUCUUUACAUGGAAGCCACCUUGGGCUCAUGCAUACACAGCAGGACAAGAGUGCUGCCAUCCCCAGUGCCAUGGAGUAAAGAUGAGAUCUGAGUCACCAAAGAUCUACAAUAUGGACUCCCUGGAAAACCAGACA